GGGAGCGCUGGUGGUACGUGGCCCUCAGCAAGUGCGGGGGGGAUGGCCUGGAGCUGGAGUACGAGAUGGUUUUGACCAACGGGGACUCGUUCUGGACCCGACACUUCUCGGCUGACGAGUUCGGCAUCCUGGAGACCGACAUCACCUUCCUGCUCAUCUUCCUCCUCAUCUUCCUCCUCUCCUGCUACUUCGCCCAGCUGCUGAGGGG